GUCCACGCCCUAAACGAUGAGUGCUAGUUGUCGGCAAGUUUACUUGUCGGUGACGCAGCUAACGCAUUAAGCACUCCGCCUGGGGAGUACGGCCGCAAGGUUAAAACUCAAAGAAAUUGACGGGGGCCCCGCACAAGCGGUGGAGCAUGUGGUUUAAUUCGAAGCAACGCGCAGAACCUUACCCACGUUUGACAUCCGGUGUUACCUGGAGAGAUCCAGGGUCCUUCGGGCGCCGAGACAGGUGCUGCAUGGCUGUCGU
rnacentral:rRNA from 1 species